rnacentral:rRNA from 1 species
CAAGGGCCGGGCAAGACCGGUGCCAGCCGCCGCGGUAACACCGGCGGCCCGAGUGGUGAUCGUGAUUAUUGGGUCUAAAGGGUCCGUAGCCGGUUUGGUCAGUCCUCCGGGAAAUCUGACGGCUUAACCGUUAGGCUUUCGGGGGAUACUGCCAGGCUUGGAACCGGGAGAGGUAAGAGGUACUACAGGGGUAGGAGUGAAAUCUUGUAAUCCCUGUGGGACCACCUGUGGCGAAGGCGUCUUACCAGAACGGGUUCGACGGUGAGGGACGAAAGCUGGGGGCACGAACCGGAUUAGAUACCCGGGUAGUCCCAGCCGUAAACGAUGCUCGCUAGGUGUCAGGCAUGGCGCGACCGUGUCUGGUGCCGCAGGGAAGCCGUGAAGCGAGCCACCUGGGAAGUACGGCCGCAAGGCUGAAACUUAAAGGAAUUGGCGGGGGAGCACAACAACGGGUGGAGCCUGCGGUUUAANNGGAUUCAACGCCGGA